rnacentral:rRNA from 1 species
GACGAAUGCUGGCGGCGUGCCUAAUACAUGCAAGUAGAACGCUGAAGAGAGGAGCUUGCUCUUCUUGGAUGAGUUGCGAACGGGUGAGUAACGCGUAGGUAACCUGCCUUGUAGCGGGGGAUAACUAUUGGAAACGAUAGCUAAUACCGCAUAACAAUGGAUGACACAUGUCAUUUAUUUGAAAGGGGCAAUUGCUCCACUACAAGAUGGACCUGCGUUGUAUUAGCUAGUAGGUGAGGUAAUGGCUCACCUAGGCGACGAUACAUAGCCGACCUGAGAGGGUGAUCGGCCACACUGGGACUGAGACACGGCCCAGACUCCUACGGGAGGCAGCAGUAGGGAAUCUUCGGCAAUGGGGGCAACCCUGACCGAGCAACGCCGCGUGAGUGAAGAAGGUUUUCGGAUCGUAAAGCUCUGUUGUAAGUCAAGAACGGGUGUGAGAGUGGAAAGUUCACACUGUGACGGUAGCUUACCAGAAAGGGACGGCUAACUACGUG